UGCAUUGCGACGGGUUAUAUCA
rnacentral:miRNA from 1 species